GCAAAAACAUAUGUGAGUGUAAGGGAUUAUUCAAAUCUUUUGCAAUAAUAAUGGUAAGUGUCUCAACAACUCAGAGUUCUUGCAAUAGCCAGCUUUUUUUUUUAAGCCUUGGGCUUGAGUGGCUUGAUGACCUCCCAAGUGAAGUCAGGGUCGUCACGUCCGAAAUGACCAUACGCAGCUGUUUUCUGGAACCUGAAGUUACCUCCUCUCUUCAAGUCAAGGUUAAUAGCCAUCAUGCCCGGCCUGAAGUCAAAGGCCUCCUUGAUCAACACGAGUAUAUCCUUGUCUGGUAUGGUCCCGGUCUUGUAAGUAUCAACAAACACCGAGAGAGGCUCAGGUACUCCAAUAGCGUACGACACUUGGACUAUAC
rnacentral:lncRNA from 1 species